AAUAAGAACAGCCAUAAGUUUUCGUGUUCAACUUUAGUCGUCUGUCUUAUUUGAAAAAAUUUUAUAACUAGCAUUUUUAUUGUUAUGAGAUGAUAAAAUAUGAAUAGUACUUUACUCGUGACUUGUGUUUUUAAAAUUUUUUAAAAUACUUUCAAAUAAGACGAACGGUCAAAACUGGGCGCAAAAAACCAUGGCUGCAGUUAUU
rfam:Oryza sativa Japonica Group DNA, chromosome 8, cultivar: Nipponbare, complete sequence.